UUCAACCUUAAAGAAAAUGAUGACCAUUUGUUAUCAAAAUCAUAUUUUGUAUGAAUAAAAGAAUACAUCAAAAGUAAAAUGGUACCUAAGAGAUACCUUGUAAACUCGAUUUCUCUCGGUCAAAGUGUCAAACAGAGAGUACAUGGCGUUCAACAUGGACACAACUUCCAUCGGCGAGAUUCUACUGCAGAUUUCGACAAUGCACCAUCUCAAACAAUGUAACGACAAAGAUAUUUUUACGAACGUUCCAUCUCGGCAACAGCGAUAAAUAAUCUAAACAAAUUAAAAAAGAUCAAAGUUUGAA